rnacentral:rRNA from 1 species
UCGACGAUGUUACUUUGAGUAAAUUAGAGUGUUCAAAGCAAGCUGUCGCUCUGAAUAUGAUAGCAUGGGAUAACACGACAGGACUCUGGCCUAUCGUGUUGGUCUGUAGGACCGGAGUAAUGAUUAAGAGGGACGGUCGGGGGCAUUCGUAUUCCAUUGUCAGAGGUGAAAUUCUUGGAUUUAUGGGGGACGAACAAUUGCGAAAGCAUUUGCCAAGGAUGUUUUCAUUGAUCAAGAACGAAAGUUGGGGGCUCGAAGACGAUUAGAUACCGUUGUAGUCUCAACCAUAAACGAUGCCGACUCGGGAUUGGCGGGUGUUUAUUCGAUGACUCCGCCAGCACCGUAUGAGAAAUCAAAGUUUUUGGGUUCCGGGGGGAGUAUGGUCGCAAGGCUGAAACUUAAAGGAAUUGACGGAAGGGCACCACCAGGCGUGGAGCCUGCGGCUCAAUUUGACUCAACACGGGAAAACUUACCAGGUCCAGACGUAGGAAGGAUUGACAGAUUGAUAGCUCUUUCUUGAUUCUUAUGGGUGGUGGUGCAUGGCCGUUCUUAGUUGGUGGGUUGCCUUGUCAGGUUGAUUCCGGUAACGAACGAGACCUCAGCCUGCUAAAUAGUCACGGCUGCAUCCGCAGCUGGCAAACUUCUUAGAGGGACUGUUGGCGACUAGCCAACGGAAGUAUGAGGCAAUAACAGGUCUGUGAUGCCCUUAGAUGUUCUGGGCCGCACGCGCGCUACACUGAUACGUUCAACAAGUUCCUUGGCUCGAAAGGUCUGGGUAAUCUUUGAAACCGUAUCGUGAUGGGGAUAGAACAUUGCAAUUAUUGUUCUUCAACGAGGAAUGCCUAGUAAUCGCGAGUCAUCAUCUCGCGUUGAUUACGUCCCUGCCCUUUGUACACACCGCCCGUCGCUCCUACCGAUUGGAUGUGCUGGUGAAGACUUCGGA